rnacentral:tRNA from 1 species
GAAAAGAUUUAGAAAUACAGAAACU